rnacentral:ribozyme from 1 species
UUGUUCGUUUGUCUUUGAUUCUUUCUUCUUUCUUUCUUUUUUCCCUUUCGUCUGCUUUUCAUAAAGAGAAGGAAGGAAAAGAAAAAAGAUGCAGU